CCUACGUGAGGCAGCAGUGGGGAAUAUUGCGCAAUGGGCGAAAGCCUGACGCAGCGACGCCGCGUGAGGGAUGAAGGUCUUCGGAUCGUAAACCUCUGUCAGCAGGGAAGAACGGUCACUGUGCUAAUCAGCAGUGAAUUGACGGUACCUGCAAAGGAAGCACCGGCUAACUCCGUGCCAGCAGCCGCGGUAAUACGGAGGGUGCGAGCGUUAAUCGGAAUUACUGGGCGUAAAGCGCUCGUAGGCGGUAUGUCAAGUCAAGGGUGAAAUCCCCGCGCUCAACGUGGGAACUGCCUUUGAAACGGGCAAACUGGAGUGUGUGAGAGGAUAGUGGAAUUCCAGGUGUAGGAGUGAAAUCCGGAGAUAUCUGGAGGAACAUCAGUGGCGAAGGCGACUAUCUGGCACAUAACUGACGCUGAGGAGCGAAAGCGUGGGUAGCAAACAGGAUUAGAUACCCGAGUAGUC
rnacentral:rRNA from 1 species